GUUCGCUGCCUCCUCCUCCUCCUGCAGCAGCACCAGCGACCGCCGAGGCGCCGGCUCGCUCACCCGGAGCUCCGGAGGGGGAUAGACGGGGCAGCUGCAGGCUCCGGCGACCGAGGCCGAGCUGGGGCCGGGGCGGGGACGGCGGCGGCGGCGGCGGCGACGGCGGCGGCGCCGGGUGGGGAUGGGGUCGCAGACGCUGCAGAUCCUCCGACAGGGGGUGUGGGCCGCGCUCAGCGGGGGCUGGUACUACGACCCGCACCAGGCCACCUUCGUAAACGCGCUGCACCUCUACCUGUGGCUCUUUCUGCUGGGCCUGCCCUUCACCCUCUACAUGGACCACGUGGAGAUAACUGAAUCAUGGGGGUGGUUCCCCCAUGCUGUUCUUGAGAUAGUGAGUUCUCA
rnacentral:sRNA from 1 species